AAUCCCCCCUGUUCGUCGUUUGAUCGGGCAAUGAAAGAAAAGGGGAUACGAAUGGAUGAAGGCGACGUGAGGGAAAAUGAACACGAAGGCAGAUGAACAAAAAUGGCGAGAAGGAAAGCACGAGGUCGCGGCUCUGCAUCCGGUCCUUGCUCGUCGCAGACCACAAAGAAGACCGAAGGAGAAUGAAGCUCGCAGGCGGUGCUUCGUCGGUCGAUUCGCGAAGAGGGAGUAGUCUCCGGGUCGACGAGACUGAAGAGACGGAGGGCGUGAAGAAGCAGCGAAGUUUUGCUCGUCACUUCCGGAUGCGAGGUGUGAGGUCCGGGCGUUGCAAGAAGCGGUAGUAGUGAAGACGAGGCCAUCUGAUCUCUGUGGUCGAUGGGAAAAGCAGAGGAAGAAAACGAGGGGAAAGGGGGUCUGAUCGGAGUCCGGUCGGCAGCCAUUCGUCGCAGGUGAGGAUCUCGGUGGUGUUUGCUCGAAAAUCACGAUGUUUUCCCAUUGUUUUGGCAGUUCUGAAUCGACCACCGGGAAGGAAAAGUAAACAAAAUCGUGAUGUUGUUAUUCCUGUUUGCUGGUAUACCCGAAGUCAAGAACAAGAGUAUUCUUGUCGAUGUAGGAUGAAAGGAAAUAUGGAGGCUUAUUAACAGGAAACGUAGAAGACAAGGGUGUUAGGGGCUGUUCCUGUGACAGCUUCAAUUGAGAUGUAUUUUCUAUAUAAUUGGUUUGAUUUUUGAUUGUUUUUAUAUAUUUUGUGUUUUCUUUGGGUGUAAAUUGAAGCAAAAGUUUUUUCCUAUGUAUUAUGUUUAUAACUUUGUCCAUUGAUUUGUACAAUUGACUAAUGUGUAUGUAUUUAGUUGAAUUUGGGUAUGUAUUGAUUUAUAGUACUAGUUAUCUACAGUAGUUUACAUAUUUGUGUAUUAUAUGAAUUUAAACAUAUUUGUGUAUUAUAUAAAUUUAAACUCAUAUGUUAGGAAA